AUUGAACGCUGGCGGCAGGCCUAACACAUGCAAGUCGAGCGGUUGAGGUAGCUUGCUACCGAUGCAGCGGCGAACGGGUGAGUAAUACAUGGGAAUCUGCCUGGUAGUGGGGGACAACGUCUCGAAAGGGACGCUAAUACCGCAUACGCCCUACGGGGGAAAGGGGGGGAUCUUCGGACCUCUCGCUAUCAGAUGAGCCCAUGUCAGAUUAGCUAGUUGGUGGGGUAAAGGCUCACCAAGGCGUCGAUCUGUAACUGGUCUGAGAGGAUGAUCAGUCACCCGGGAACUGAGACACGGUCCAGACUCAUAAGGGAUGCAGCAGUGGGGAAUAUUGGACAAUGGGCGCAAGCCUGAUCCAGCCAUGCCGCGUGUGUGAAGAAGGCCUUAGGGUUGUAAAGCACUUUCAGUGUGGAGAAAGGUUAUUCACCUAAUACGUGAGUAAAUUGAUGUUACCCACAGAAGAAGCACCGGCUAACUCCGUGCCAGCCGCCGCGGUAA
rnacentral:rRNA from 1 species